UACGGAGGGUGCAAGCGUUAUCCGGAUUUACUGGGUUUAAAGGGUGCGUAGGUGAGUAGGUAAGUCAGUGGUGAAAUCUUCGAGCUUAACUCGGAAACUGCCAUUGAUACUAUUUAUCUUGAAUACUCUGGAGGUAAGCGGAAUAUGUCAUGUAGCGGUGAAAUGCUUAGAUAUGACAUAGAACACCAAUUGCGAAGGCAGCUUACUACAUAGUUAUUGACACUGAGGCACGAAAGCGUGGGGAUCAAACAGG
rnacentral:rRNA from 1 species